AUCGAUAUUCUCUUGAUUGGUUAGAAUAUUUGAAUUGGAAGCUUAAAAGUUACGCAUCAGAAGUUGAAAGUUGUCGGAGAAACUGGUUGAAAGAACGAAGCAAUUUGAAUUUUGAAAUUUUUUUGUUGUGCAGCUGAAAGAGGAGAAUUGUUUGAGGAGAGAGAGGGAGUGAAAAGUUUUUUUAUUUAAUGUGUGGGUUAUUUUUUUGUAUUUUUUAAAAAAAUAUAAGUUUUGAAAAUAUUAAUUGAGUCCUAAAUUAACUUAAUCAACUAUUUAAGUGCUUUGACGUGUUUUUGGUCAACAUUGUAACCAAUAGUUAAUUCAAGACUUAAAAGAGUACCUUUCUUUAAUUUUCUCCUCUUUACAAACAUCUCCCUAGAAAAUAGGAUUUUCUGAAAAGCACCAACUCUUUUCAAGCUUCUGUCUCAGGUGAAGAUGUUCUAGCAAACUACUACUUUCGUGUCCCAAAAUAUUUAGGCCAAGAUGUAGUUCUCAAAGUAUUGAUUUCGUCUCCUUCAUCUACGAGUAAAUAACAAACAUUUUGGGGAAGUCAAGCGUCGAUCGAUUUGGUAUACAAUCUGGUACGUAAAACUUGAAGAAAGACAUGGACAUUUGUUCACAUUGAAGCUGGUGCAUUUAGGUGUAUAAAGAGAAAUUAUUAUUUCAAGUGCAUCAUUGUGUUGGUGGCCGUGAAGUUGCUUAUGAGACUCAUACGGGUGGCUCUAUCUCAUUUUGAGUUAUAUCGUAAGAAAUUUGCUAUUGAAAAGGUUCAAAAUCCAAGACUAAGCGAGUUACAUUUGAACGUCCAUACACAUGGUCAUGAUGAAAAGUUUUUUUUUGAUGAGCACUCUCGAAUUCUCCAUGUAAUUCCAAAACUUUGAAAUCUAUCUGAAAAUAUACAUGUCAUUUCACAUUAGAAGGGGAAACUUGGUUGAAAACGAAGAUAUACAUCUUUUGUUGAUGACGCUCCCGAUAUGAGUAUUUUUUUCUCCUUUUUUACUACAAAGUGAGGCUUGACUAGAGCUUUGUUCUCGAAUCUGCAAUGUAAAAUAGUUCUUACUCGUUGAAAAUUUAGUAUUCUAUUGUAUCUUCUUAAGUAAAUCAGUAGUAGAUUGUACUGUCAAAUUGACAUAAUGAAUGUCUGAGUUCUUCAUCAGAACCUACACAAUAAACCACAAGUUUGAAAGCUAAUAGAGUAACUAUAGGACCAAUUUCCACAAGAGAGAAGAACCUACUAUUGUGUUUGGCAAAUCAC